CUUCUACAGUCAAUGCGUCAAAUGCAGUUUUGGUAUCUUCCAUUGAUAACCAACUAUCAAUCGGUCAAAGCAACUUGCUAAGCUUUCCAUGCCACACUCAAGCAGUAGAGCGAACUGUUAAGUUUGUUACUGAAGCGUCGAAGAAGUUUGCCUAAAUUUGAGAACAAGUCCCAGUAUACAA